UCCCAACUCGCAGGAGAGCCCAGGGAGCCCCU
rnacentral:piRNA from 1 species